CGGGAAGGGAGGCUACUUGAGGCUACUCCACCCGAAGUCCCCUGCCAAGGCCUGUGUCAGGGCAGAGAGCUACCACCGCAGACUUCUCUAAGCCUCAGACUUGACUGUGCCACUCCCAGAUAAAACUCCUGUCGUGUCUUCUCAUGUCUGUGGCGCGGCCCCUGAUGCCUACUCUGUGCCAGACUGGAUUCACACUUUGAAUCCCAGUCAGAUGGCACCUCCUUUCAAAGCCAGCCUGCCCUGGUCCUCCCAUCUCCUGGGCCCGCAGAGAGUCAUUCCUCCCUCCAGGAUGCUUCUAGACUCUAGAGCCUAGAGCAGCUUGUCCGUCAGCCCACCUGGGCAGAGUCGUUCUGCCAGCAGGCUUUGCUCACCUGUAGAAGGCCAGCUGGAGGGCCACCUGAAUGAAGGCAUCAGGACUGCAUUUCUGCUUCUUAAUGAAUGCUUUCCCGAAGAUGUCAAACUUAUAAACAGUGAAGUCGAGAUUCUUGACUAUUCUGUGGAAGAAAAAAAAGAGGUGCUGCUAUGUGCAAUAUGGAAUGCACACACCACAGAGUCUAACCAAGUUGCUCAAGCAGGGUCUACACCCUAGCACUCUGGAAGUUGAGGACACAGUCCUUGCCCACCAGGAACAUGCCGGAUGUCAGAGACAGGCCUUGACAUAUGGAAGUGGCAGAGAGAACGCCAGACUGGGGCUCCUCUGAGCUGAAGUUGGCUUCCAAGCCUGCCCGGAUCUUCUAGGAACCUGUACAAGCUUCAACAAGCUGCCUUUCUACCUCUUCUCCUCUGCCUGCACCACGAACUCCUAUCUGUCCUUCAAAGCCCACCAUUGCAGAGCGUCUCACAAUGUCCUGGUAGAAUUCCACUCCUGUAUCCUCUGUGAGUUCAGUUUUUCUGCUGAGGAGGCUAAGAGGCCUUGAAUUUCCGGGGAGCAUUUCCAACGCAGCCUCCUGGGGGCCGGGAGCUCGCUGACGGAGUCGGCUCGGACCAGCUUCUUGCUGCUCUUCACCCUGCAGACACAGAGAGGUGACCUCCCGAGGCCCUGGGAGCUGCAGGCUGCCGGCAGCUCGGUUCUCAGCUGCUGGAGUUUCAGUGGGCACGAGCUGUCCCCGGAAACAGUCUGAGGCUCAGCAAAGCCACUUAGAUGAGCACAGGGCAGAGCCAGGAUUCCAGCCAGUCUGCCAGGCUCCAGAGCCCAGUAUUUUUUCUCAUGUUUUCCCACUCCACUGCUUUCCACCACUGACAUUUAUGAAACCCUAAGAGGGAAACUGAAGAAGCAAAUUGUGUUGUUUUGUCCAUGAGGGCUUUUAGGGAUCUUAAAGAGUUCUUAAAUCGUGGAAAGGAUUUAGAACUUAGAUUCACAGAGAAGAUUCUGGAAGGAGAGAAUGGGCAAACCAUGAAGAGAGGAGAGGAGUCAUUGUGUUUAAAGGGAUAGAGAAGCACCCAGCCUGGCCAGCUUGGAAGCUAGGAAAGAGACACAGCCCAAGGGGAUGGAAGGACGUGGGAGCUGCUCUCCUCCGGCUGGGUCAACAGUCAGCCCAGUGUUGACUCAGAACAGCACUAGGUGUUGCUCUGAGCCUCGCUGGGCCAAAGCAGGCAUUCUUUUUUGGCUGAGAAUUCUUUGUCAAGCUUUCUCCUAACUGCCCCAAACCUGUUGUGCAGUAUGCCCGGCUCUGUCCGUGGCAGAUAAAGUGUAUGAUGUCAA